ACGGAGUGUGCAAGCGUUACUCGGAAUCACUGGGCAUAAAGAGCACGUAGGCGGGCCGCUUAGUCGGUGGUGAAAGCCCUCAGCUCAACUGAGGAAUUGCUCCCGAAACUGGCGGCCUUGAGGACAAGAGGGGAGAGUGGAACUUCUGGUGGAGCGGUGAAAUGCGUAGAUAUCAGAAGGAACACCGGUGGCGAAAGCGACUCUCUGGCUUGUUUCUGACGCUGAGGUGCGAAAGCGUGGGUAGCAAACAGG
rnacentral:rRNA from 1 species